GCCCGAUGAUGAGACCAAGGCGAAUAUGAGCUUACUGGAUGAGCGCUGGGUUCUCCUUGCCCUAACUGACAGGUAAUCUUGGCAGUGCAGGGGAGGAUUCCUGCUCUGCUGUAAGGGCCUGCCUACAGUGACUUGGCCUGUCCUGAAUUAUUUCUCUGGAGGUACAGAGGUGUAAUGCUGGGAUGGAGCUGACAUUGUGAUUGUGUGCGUGUGUGUGCGCGGUAGUUUGUGUGAGUGUGUGUAAGAGGCAAGGAGUUCAACCAGCUCUCUUUGCUGUUCAGUCAGCUAUGAGUUGCUUCUUUGGUAAUCUGAGGGCA